UGACAUGGAGAGAACUGGCAUAGAAGGGGAGAAGAUGAUGAUGAGUUACUUUUGAACACACUGCACUUGAGAGGGUUUAAAUAAUUUAUUCUCCUACUGUCUUCAAAAGGUAAAGGAGUAUAUAUGGUAAACUUAACUGUGGUCUAAAAUGAAGGUGGAGAAUGCUGUUGUUAAUGGGCGACAUCACUAAUGCAUCAUAGCACUCUUAUUCCCACAGCCCAGACACACCUUCGGCGUCCUUUUCAACAUAUCAUUUCAUCCCCCCAAGGUGUCAACUAUAAGUUCCAACACAUGAUGGCUACUACUGUUCCAAGGGAGAGUGUAUGCCUUGGAAAGCCACGUUUCUCCCCAGUCUAAAAGCUUGAGAGAGUAACAUUCUUUAAAACAUACAUGUCUUGAACACAGAUUUGGAGGUAUCCUUGAGGUAAAUUACAGCUUACCAAAUGUAAAUAACCAAAAACACAUCGAUCAUGAGUGCCAGCAUCACUGGGAACUCUUCCGAUAUUUCUGAGACUCCUAACUUGGUUUAAGGUUAGGGCAGUGCAGACCACGGUAAUCAAGAGAGUCUAAUUUUAAAUUUGUUAACUGUCCAUUAUGGGAUGGGACAGGUCUUCUCAACAUGACUCCAGCAAGAUCCAGGCUUAUUAAUGCUCCAUGGAGGGUGUCCGCAGCAAGAAGUCUUCCUGAUGGGUUCAGAUGAUUUGGAUUACACCCCCUCCUUAAGGAACUCAGAAGGAAAAGCAACAUAUAAAAGACUGAGAAAUCCUCAGAAAUCAAUUAAACUUAGUUUGGCCUAGUGUCACCCAGACUUACUUGACCAUGAAAUCCUCCUGUCGCAUGACACUCAUGAAGAGCCCCUGAAAUUAGGAUCAUUUCAAUCCUCAAAGCAUACCCAUUUUUCAAACGAGAAAUACAACUUCUAGAAUCACAAAGCCACAAAAUUGGCAAGGGAGAUCUAAAAUCAGAUCUUCCGGUUCCAGCUUCAGGGCCCAAUUCAUAGGACUGCAGCUGAAGAGGACAGUUGGCAGUGAAGAUGAGAGCUGAUACCUGGGCUACACACCCACUUUACAAACAGAACAUCGGGGGCUCGGCAGUAUCCCUACUCGGCAAAAUGUGCGGCACAUGGGCCAGCUACAGCUUUCUGGGGGCUCCCCAUCAGGGCUGACAGCUCAUCCUGUCUUUUAAAGUCCACCACCAUUGCCCUUUUCUUUUGUAGCCACUACAAAACACUACUCUGUUUACUCUCUGCUAUACCCGCGAGAGGAAUUCUGGCCUUUAGGGCAUUUCCUGUUGCCUAGAAACCUUAUAGAGCACUGGGUGCAGGAAGCUGACUCUCUGGUAGAGAUUCACAGGCAGGAAGUUUAUUCAGAGUGCUCUGGGGCAACACCUGUGAGGGAAUACAGGCAGUAAAACAGGGCAGAGGGAGAGGCUGAAUUCUGAUGCAGCUGCAAACAAAAGCCUGACUGAUCCAGGAGGAUGCUCUGCAACGGGGCUGGGCGUUCAAAGUGGAUCCAAGCCGGGUGAAAGGUCCAGGCCUUCAUGUCCCAGCAUCAACCUGUCUUUGGAUAUGGGUUGCUACUGCUCCUACCUUGGGCAUCCUAGUUCUCCUCAGCCACAGGCAAUCCCGAAGAGGGUCUCAGCUGAGCACUGUCAGCUGCCAACAUUACCAGCAGCUGAAGAAGGAAGUCCUUCCCUCCUGGAAGCGGGUGGAGGGAGUGUUGUAGAUCUGGGCUGCCUGACAACAUCUUCUGCAUUGCUCAGGGCGUGUUUCCCACUCAACUCUCAGACAGUGAUGAAUAAACUCAAAGGAAAGGAAAAUCAUUUGGCAACCGGAAGGUGUGGGAGGAUAGCUGUAAAUGAAACUGACGGCAAAAAACAGAGCAGAGAAGUUUAAAGAAAAAAAAUAACAGCAUUCCUGGUGAUGCCCCAUUGGGCCAAUGAAACAAACACAUUCUGAAGCCUUUCCUAACCAGGAGCCAACCAAUCUCAUCACUGUGAAGCCAGAAAACCCUAUCUAUUGAAGAUGACUGCUUUCUUCUACUGUAGCUGGCAAUUUUAUGAAAUGAAGAAAAUUUGCUCUAGUUGCAAGUGACACACACCUCUUAAAUGUCUGCUAUCAAUUAAAAGUAAAAUACUGGUUACUUGCAACUAUCAAUUAGAUACAAUGCACUCCAGGAGAUCAGGAGCCUUGGCAUUCAGACAUAGGAGCAUUUUUUUGGCUUUGCCAUUUACUUGCAAUGUGACCUUGAUGAGAGAGAAGUUGAUGCUCAGCGAGGUGAAGUAAUUUGCCCAGGGUUAAGAUUCAAAUGCAAGUCUGGGGACCCUGAAGUCUGCUUCUUUUCACUGUGCUGCGUAGUGGCCUUAGCCUUUCCUUUCUAACAGAGAAGCCAAGACAGCAUACCUGUGUCUGAGUGCCCCAGUGGUGUGCACAUCUAUUACCUCAGGAAGAAAGAAUGUCUGAGGAGACGAAAUUUGCAAACAGUUACAAAGGACUGCACACACAAAUAUGAAUAAAGCCUCUUGAACACCAGA
rnacentral:lncRNA from 1 species